GACGAACGCUGGCGGCGUGCCUAAUACAUGCAAGUAGAACGCUGAAGGAGGAGCUUGCUUCUCUGGAUGAGUCGCGAACGGGUGAGUAACGCGUAGGUAACCUGCCUGGUAGCGGGGGAUAACUAUUGGAAACGAUAGCUAAUACCGCAUAAGAGUAGAUGUUGCAUGACAUUUGCUUAAAAGGUGCAAUUGCAUCACUACCAGAUGGACCUGCGUUGUAUUAGCUAGUUGGUGGGGUAACGGCUUACCAAGGCGACGAUACAUAGCCGACCUGAGAGGGGGGUCGGCCACACUGGGACUGAGACACGGCCCAGACUCCUACGGGAGGCAGCAGUAGGGAAUCUUCGGCAAUGGACGGAAGUCUGACCGAGCAACGCCGCGUGAGUGAAGAAGGUUUUCGGAUCGUAAAGCUCUGUUGUAAGAGAAGAACGAGUGUGGGAGUGGAAAGUUCACACUGUGACGGUAUCUUACCAGAAAGGGACGGCUAACUACGUG
rnacentral:rRNA from 1 species